rnacentral:rRNA from 1 species
GAUGAACGCUAGCGGCAGGCCUAAAACAUGCAAGUCGAACGCCCGUAGCAAUACGGGAGUGGCAGACGGGUGAGUAACACGUGGGAACGUGCCCUUUGGUUCGGAACAACACAGGGAAACUUGUGCUAAUACCGGAUAAGCCCUUACGGGGAAAGAUUUAUCGCCAGAGGAUCGGCCCGCGUCUGAUUAGCUAGUUGGUGAGGUAACGGCUCACCAAGGCUACGAUCAGUAGCUGGCUGAGAGGAUGAUCAGCCACACUGGGACUGAGACACGGCCCAGACUCCUACGGGAGGCAGCAGUUAGGAAUCUUGGACAAUGGCGCAAGCCUGAUCCAGCCAUGCCGCGUGAGUGAUGAAGGCCUUAGGGUUGUAAAGCUCUUUCAGCGGGGAAGAUAAUGACGGUACCCGCAGAGAAG